UUCAAGUCUGUCUCCAUAACUUUGGGUUAAAACAAAUUCUAAAUAUGACUGGGGAAAGUCCAGGGGAAACUGGCUUCCAUGCAUUCUUUACCUUGUUUACAAAUGGACUUGGCAUAUCUACAGACUGAUGGGCACUGGAGUUGGCAUACAGAUACAGGUGUCCAAAGAAUGUCAAAAAGCAAUCGGAUAAUCUGCACAGAAGAACAACACCUGGUGCCACAAUUUUAAAAAUCAGCACACAAAAUAAACAAGUGUUUACUUUGCAUAGGAAGCAAGCGGAUUCCAUUCCCGUCCCACACUGCCAGAGAUGGCAGAUCUGAAUAGGAUUUGCUUGGGAGAAAUGAGGAAGGCUUGAGUUAAGGUGGAGCGCUGGAGUGGAGGGAGAAGCAAGAAGUCAUUUGACAGAGCAAGAUAUAGGACACAGUGUGACUGACUUGCUGUGUGGGAGGUAAAGAGGGAGACCAGCACGACUCAAGCUUGGGAAGUACAUCAGAGCCCCAGACGAUGAGCACAGGUGGAGGUCUGAGAAGAAGAUAAAGAAUUUGCUCUUGGACAUGCGGAACUUGAGAGGCCUGAAGGUCAUUCUGAUGGACCUGAAAUACAUACUGCGGGUCCAGGAAGAAGUCAGAAUUCAAAGAGAUAUGAUGUCUUAAAUUGUCUGGGCAUAUCUCGAUUUCAUGUAAUUGUAUUCUUUUCAAUAGGGGAAUUAAU